AGUUCAUUUUGUCUGCUUAGCAAAUAAUCAGAUCAGAACAAUUUCAGCCCUGGUAAAAGGAUGUUCCUUGGCCCAUCACCUGAUCACUUCUAGCUCUCACAAACAAAGUACAAACAAGAACGGUUGGAGCUCUGAGGUGCAGCCAUUUUUUCCUUCCGGACGCGCAGAUCAUCCAACAGCUUCUGCGCAAAAUCCGAUCGCUU